GAAGAGGAGGCUCAGUGCUUAAGAACACUGGUUGCUCUUCCAGGGGACCUGGGUUUAAUUCCCAGCUUCUCCA
rnacentral:tRNA from 1 species